rnacentral:rRNA from 1 species
CAUAGCGACUAUCGUGGCAUAUCAAUAAGCGGAGGAAAAGAAACUAACUAGGAUUCCCUCAGUAACGGCGAGUGAAGCGGGAAGAGCUCAAAUUUGAAAUCUUCAAGGUUCUACCUUGACGAAUUGUAGUUUAAAGAAGUGUUUUCUGUUGAAGUUUCGGUAAAAGUUCUUUGGAAUAGGACAUCAUAGAGGGUGAGAAUCCCGUAUUUGACCGUUACUUUCCAGCUGUGUCGAUACACUUUCAAAGAGUCGGAUUGUUUGGGAAUGCAGUCCAAAAUGGGUGGUAAAUUUCAUCUAAAGCUAAAUAUUGGCGAGAGACCGAUAGCGAACAAGUACCGUGAGGGAAAGAUGAAAAGAACUUUGAAAAGAGAGUUAAACAGUACGUGAAAUUGUCAAAAGGGAAGCGUUUGACACCAGUGUUGUUUUUCCGAAAAUCAAUUACGAAUGUUUUAGUUUUUGAGGAGUUAUGACUUCAUCGGCUUGCUUCUCUCUUUAUGAAACUUUCUUAAUGCACUUUUCGGUUAACAAGUCAACAUCAAUUUCUUUUGUUGUAAAAGGGUAUGAGGAAGGUGGCUUUACUUUCGGAGUAAAGUGUUUAUAGCCUUGUACCUCUGCAAUCGGAGAGAUUGAGGUCUGCAGCGUAGAUCCUUCGGGGUAGAUACAGUUUGUGCUAAGUUAUAGCUUUUCAUAGACAACUUGUUGACUAUGUUUAGUCUUGUAGCUUACUCGCUGAUGCUAUUUUACCUACGCUUAGGAUGUUGAUAGUCACAGCGUGUAC